UUCUGAGCCCGAGCUAGAAGCGCUUCAGAGAAGGAGGGACCGACCUGCAGGAGCCGGCCGCCCCGCCGAGCUGCAGUCGCUGCCGCCGCUGCCACCACUGUCGCUGUCAGAGCCCGUCCGAAGAGUGACACCUUCGCGAAAAACAGGAGCUGCGAAACAGUUGCACACGCAGUCUUCGGAUCUCCGGUCACCGUUCAUGAGCCCGAGGCUGUGAGACAUGCCCCAUGUGCCAAGGGGGGUGCUCACCAAAUCUUCUGAGGCUGUUCUAGACAUACACUGUUCGGACUGAGUCAGCAUUACCAGCUUAUCCGAGAGAAGUACCGUCAUAUUCAUUAACAACGUCGAAAGUAGCCUACUUUAAGAGGAAAUAUGCAGAAGAAGAAGAUUUACAUCAAGGUUACCAUGGGUGUUUUCCAAAACACCUGAUAUUACCCGAAGACAGGACCUGUAUCCUCAAACUUUCCCUGGAGAAGCUCAGGUUUCUUGAAGACCCAGAAACCUACUUACGAAGGUCUGUGUUAAUUAACAAUUUGCUGAGGAAGAUACACCUAGAGACGGAGAAAGAGAGCUAUGAAUACUUUAAGGAAUCUCCCCCCUAUAAGACUGCUUAUUCGGAUACAAGAAAACGGCUGAAGUUUAUGGUACAGGAGUGCUGUUCCCAGUCUCUCUACUAUGAAGAGCUGCAUUCCUACCACAUUGUGCCUUAUACUUCGGAGAAUGCCAUCUACGGGAUGGGCUACACUGGUGACCACUUGGAGCAAAAUUCCCAGUUGCUUAUUUAUAAAAUGAAUUAAAGUAACUGUUAAGUUCAUUGAUAUUUUGUUUCUAAAUGCCUGAACUGUUUAUAGUGAAGAUGUUAAUAUAAGACACUAAUUAUCAGUGCACUUGAUCUCAGUGAUGAGAUGCAUGCCGAACUGAGGGGAGAGAACCAUGGGUAUUUCUUACCCACAAUCCUUAGUGCCAUCACAUUGAAUGGAAAAUAGACCUACUUUAUCAUAAAUCUGUGAGUCGAUGCAUUAGAAGAAAAAGGGUUUUAAAUUGUUUUUGAGAUAGGAAGGGAUUGAUCUCUGGUCAACCUGUGAGGUUAAAAUUAAGUCACUCCCCCAUCUAAAUUCUACCUACUCUUAUUAAACAUUAGCCAAAAUAAAAUCAUUAUUAAAUUGAUAAUGUUGUGAUCCUGAGGACUAGGGGUGGAAUGAAUCUAAUUUUAUUUAUACAGUGAGGGUUCCAUCCUUUCAGAAAUUCUAUGGCUUGUCAAACACUGUGCCAAAUGGUCAUUUGUCAUUAGUAUCCUUUAACCAUGAAUGGCAGUUCAAGAUGGGGUCAGUAUAUACUGAAGCUUACUUGUUCAAUGUAACAACUCCACCUUCUUCUUCUUCUUCUUCUUCUUCUUCUUCUUCUUCUUCUUCUUCUUCUUCUUCUUCUUCUUCCUUCUCCUCCUCCUCCUCCUCCUUCUCCUUCUCCUUUUUCCUCUUCCUCCUCCUCCUCCUCCUCUUUCUCUUCCUCUUCCUCUUCUCCUCCUCCUCUUCCUCCUCCUCCUCCUUCUUGAUUCCUCUUAUUUGAUCUGAACAGACUUUCUCUUUAAGAAUGAAAUGUAAUAAAUUAGCAUUGCAUAUUGGAUCAUCUUUAAGUUCUACGGGUUGAUUAACAUUUGUGCUGGGCCUUUUAGAGUUGAAAUUUUAUUUAUGAUCUUAUUUUUUUUUUAAAGGCUGUGAAGCUCAGGAAAGUGUAGGCAGGCAAAAUACAUUUUUAAUAGGAUGAUAAUUUUUUUAAAAACCUGCCCUGGAAAGUUGAUGAGAAUAAUAGAAUUUAGACAUGUUGUUAUUUCUUCAUCCUGCUAAGAGCUCACAGAAGGUGCCGGGAUGAAGCAUUGCACUGAUUUUUGUACAGCAGUCGAUCACUUACCACUUAACAAAACAUCUGAGAAUGCUUUUGUUGGGGAUGUUUAGGUGAAUUCCUGUGUUUUAAAGUUCUAAGGGUGAAGAGGUAACAAGUUGGAUAGAUUUAUGACAUUGUUGGAAGUGAUUCCUCGUGUUCUUGAGGUUUGAGUGAGACGUCUGACCCCUGGGUCCGAAGUUUUUGUCCUAUGGAGUAUUUCAUUUAAAGAACUGUUGUUGACAAAAAUAGAUUGGGAAAACUAGGUGCCAAAGGUGUAUUAAGAAAAUACCAAAGACUGAAUGAUGAGAGUUAGGGAGACUAUGAUAGUGAAGCCAGCAAAGACAAGGUUCUGAACCGAGGACAGCAUGGGUAGUGUGGAAAUAUUGUUAAGAGCUUCACAGUGACUGGUUUGCUGGUGUGCCCUCUGAGUGCUUUGUUCAGAAUGAUGGCAAACAGGAAUACAAUGCUAAAUUAAGAUGUCAAGCUUUUGUGACUCAAAUAUGGCAACUGUCAACACAACAUCAUCCCUAGCUGAAGUGCCGUCUUGUAACAAGGCUGGCUGCAUCUUACUUUGCUUUUAUUUUUGAUACCACAUUUGGGCCCUGUGAUGAAUCACAAAGGUGAUUUUGUACAAAGACUAUGGGCUCUCUAACUAGAUUGCAUUGCGUAAGACUACAAAGAUCCAAGUAGAUCCAAGUGUCAGGUUUAUAUUAAUUGCUCAAUCGGCAUUAUGAAAAGUGAUUUAGAAUAAGGUAGUAUUUAUAGUAAGAGAUAAAGGCAUCCAAACAAGUUAGUAUGACUGGUGAGAUGCCUUUGCAGCCCAUAUAGAAAUUUCAAAUUUAGUUGAAGAGCAAGAUUUGGCACAAAAGUUUAAUAGUUUUAUUUCAUUGUUUAUAAAAGGACACAUUGCUCAGAAAACUUCUUUCAAAAAUAUAGAUUUAUUUAAAAAUGAGGCUAGUCCCAAAACUCCAAGUUUGAUAGGAUAAUUAUGUCAUCAUAAGUCUAAAAAUAGAAUCAGUUAUCUGAUGCUUUUUAAAUUUUUUUUGAAAAAACACCUGGUACGACUUACCACAGCGCCCUUAAGAAGAGGCCAACAAUGCUAACAAGUAUGACAUUUUAUAAAGCACACGUUUAACUUGGUUAAGUAUAGAAAUACACGUUUGAGAAUAGAAGAGAAAGGAAGAGGAAAAAAAUAAUGGAGAAAAUGUAAAUUUGUAAUAUUUCCUGUAUGUCAGAAACCUUAAACAAAGUCAGAACUCCGGGACAAAGAACCAGUAACACAUGUAAAAAUCCGUUUUAUUUCAAGACAUCAUUACCUGAGCGCUUUGAUCUGCACAUUCAUUCGUAUAUAAACUGUCUUAGAAGCCAGUGGUAUUUGUGAUUCUACUUUUAUUUAAAUAUGCAUUAAUUUAAAAACAGAUUAUUUGAAAAUACUUUUCAGUGCAAAUGAUUUCCCCCAAUAAACUGCUCAUAGACAAGGA